rnacentral:rRNA from 1 species
GACGAACGCUGGCGGCGUGCUUAACACAUGCAAGUCGAACGGAAAGGCCCUGCUUUUGUGGGGUGCUCGAGUGGCGAACGGGUGAGUAACACGUGAGUAACCUGCCCUUGACUUUGGGAUAACUUCAGGAAACUGGGGCUAAUACCGGAUAGGAGCUCCUGCUGCAUGGUGGGGGUUGGAAAGUUUCGGCGGUUGGGGAUGGACUCGCGGCUUAUCAGCUUGUUGGUGGGGUAGUGGCUUACCAGGCUUUGACGGGUAGCCGGCCUGAGAGGGUGACCGGCCACAUUGGGACUGAGAUACGGCCCAGACUCCAACGGGAGGCAGCAGUGGGGAAUAUUGCACAAUGGGCGGAAGCCUGAUGCAGCAACGCCGCGUGCGGGAUGACGGCCUUCGGGUUGUAAACCGCUUUCGCCUGUGACGAAGCGUGAGUGACGGUAAUGGGUAAAGAAGCACCGGCGAACUACGU